AGGACAUUAUACCUCUUAUAUAUAAACACACACACAGAUAUAUAUAGGAAACAACAAGAACGAGUGCUGAUCCACAGGAAUAUUCAUGCAACUGGAUAGGAAGGUUUCUUGGCAAUGCCACAAAGACCUUUUUUGGAAUGAACAUCUCUCUUGAUCCUCAUGUAACCACUUUCACCCCAGGAUUUGCCCCAUGAGUUCUUCAAUAACCAGUACUUAAUCCCAUCUUCACUUGCUCCAUACCCUACGACACUAACAGCAUGGUUUAACCUGGUUCGGCAUGGUCCUCCAUAAACACCUCCUGAAUAAAACUGAAAUCCAUAUCCACUGCAAUCAAGGGCCACUGCAACAGGUUGCCGGCUUGCGGCCUUUAAGAGAGCUUCUUCAUUGUCGCGAGGUACAUCUUCGUAUCCAGUGAUCUGCGCAGCUCUGAAAGUUUCUUUUCGACGGCUGCAUUUCCCGUCCUUUCCGGUGUAUGGGUAUUUUGAUUCCUUGGCGAGACCCUGGUUUCUACCAAUGUAUUCGAAUCCGUCGUCCAUCCAACCGG
rnacentral:lncRNA from 1 species